rnacentral:ncRNA from 2 species
GCGGACGACACGGGGUGCCCGCCGACGCGGGCUGAGAGCAGACCCGUCGAACCUGAUCUAGCUCGCACUAGCGAAGGGAUGUCGCCGUGGACCAGC